UAAACUAGCCAGUAUACCCUUG
rnacentral:misc_RNA from 1 species